UACGGAGGGUGCAAGCGUUAUCCGGAUUCACUGGGUUUAAAGGGUGCGUAGGUGGGUUGGUAAGUCAGUGGUGAAAUCUCCGUGCUUAACAUGGAAACUGCCAUUGAUACUACUGAUCUUGAAUUUUCAGGAGGUAAGCGGAAUAUGUCAUGUAGCGGUGAAAUGCUUAGAUAUGACAUAGAACACCAAUUGCGAAGGCAGCUUACUACAGGAAUAUUGACACUGAUGCACGAAAGCGUGGGGAUCAAACAGG
rnacentral:rRNA from 1 species